rnacentral:rRNA from 1 species
AUUGAACGCUGGCGGCAUGCUUUACACAUGCAAGUCGAACGGCAGCACGGACUUCGGUCUGGUGGCGAGUGGCGAACGGGUGAGUAAUACAUCAGAACGUACCCAGUAAUGGGGGAUAACUAGUCGAAAGAUUAGCUAAUACCGCAUACGCCCUACGGGGGAAAGAGGGGGAUCGCAAGACCUCUUGUUAUUGGAGCGGCCGAUGGCUGAUUAGCUAGUUGGGGGGGUAAAGGCCUACCAAGGCGACGAUCAGUAGCGGGUCUUAGAGGACGAUCCGCCACACUGGAACUGAGACACGGUCCAGACUCCUACGGGAGGCAGCAGUGGGGAAUCUUGGACAAUGGGCGAAAGCCUGAUCCAGCAAUGCCGCGUGCGUGAAGAAGGCCUUCGGGUUGUAAAGCGCUUUUGUCUGGGAGCAAAUCCUUGCGGCUAAUACCCACCGGGGAUGAGAGUACCAGAAGAAUAAGGACCGGCUAACUACGUGCCAGCCGCCGCCGUAAUAC